rnacentral:rRNA from 1 species
GAUGAACGCUAGCGGCAGGCUUAAUACAUGCAAGUCGAGGGGCAUCAAGGUACACGAAAGUGUAUUGUUGGCGACCGGCGGACGGGUGAGUAAUAGGUAGGUAACCUACCUCAUACUGAGGCAUAGCUGGGAGAAAUUCCAGGUAAUUCCUCAUGAGGUUAUAUGACACAUGUGAUAUAAUCAAAGGUAUCGCAAGGUACUGGUAUGAGAUGGGCUUACUGACCAUUAGCUAGUUGGUGAGAUAAGAGCUCACCAAGGCGAAGAUGGUUAGGGGUUUUGAGAGAGAGAUCCCCCACAUUGGGACUGAGAUACGGUCCAGACUCCUACGGGAGGCAGCAGUAGGGAAUAUUGGGCAAUGGGCGGAAGCCUGACCCAGCCAUGCCGCGUGAAGGAAGACGGCCUUAUGGGUUGUAAACUUCUUUACUAUGCGACUAACUAGAUUUACGAGAUAAUUCUAUAGAAUGUAGCAUAGCAAAAGCACCGG